UUGGCUUUUCUGCCUUCAGCCUUAUCAGCCACUUACAGCUGCGGGCUCAGAAAACCCGAUUUCUGCGUGUUCCACCCUGGAGGACAGGAAGAUUCAAAGCGACAGAACCUCCUCAAUAAAACACAAUAGAUUCUUCUUCCAUCCGUUGAAGGUCCGACCUUGCCGUCAUGCUCCUAAUGGUCCACGUUUGCACUCUGCCAUGAUGCCCAGGGACAUUUGGCUGGAGAUGGACAAAAAUUAUUACAAGGGAAAACAAUACCAGGUAAUUGCCCACAUCAGCGCACAGGUACAAACAGCUCACAUCCAAACAAACAGCUCUGAGCUGCCAAAUACUGAUUUUCGCUGGUAAUUGCUUAAUUGUUAUUCCUCUCAGUUUUGUGCAGGCUCAUGCUUUUCUGAGGCGGUCAGAGCAAGAGCGGUGACUCGGUUCUCAUUGGGAUGAUGCCUCUUGUGUUUACAGUCCUCAGGCUGUCACCGCAUAGAAAUAAGCUGUAAGGGGGAAACGCUUGUUCAGCAUUACACAAUUUUGUGUUUUAGUCAUACUUUAAAAUUAAAUCAAUAUAUUUUCCUGUCAUAUUUAUAUAUUUUAGUAUUUUUAUAAAGGACUGAAACAAAGUGUAGUUUUAGCUAAAGGAAACAUCAUUAGUAAAACUGAAAUAAUGUGAAUGUCCAUUUAAAAUGACAUUAUUGUUUGUAAUGGAGUGUAAAAUUAAACUCAUGGCACGAUUUUAUAUGAUGCAAUGCUGAUUAAACAAUUGUUAACUAUAAAAGAAAACUUUGUGAGCCCUCAAGGUUGUUUUCUUUUUAUUUAUGCUCUACAGUUCAACGUGACAUU
rnacentral:lncRNA from 1 species